AGAGUUUGAUUAUGGCUCAGGAUGAACGCUGGCGGCGUGCCUAACACAUGCAAGUCGAACGGACUUUAUGUUGAAUGAAGCUUCGGCCGAAGGAAAUAUAAAGUUAGUGGCGGACGGGUGAGUAACGCGUGGAGAACCUGCCCUGUACAGGGGGAUAACAACCAGAAAUGGCUGCUAAAACCGCAUAAGCGCACAUGACCGCAUGGUCGAGUGUGAAAAACUCCGGGUGGUACAGGAUGGCUCCGCGUUGGAUUAGCCAGUUGGCGGGGUAACGGCCCACCAAAGCGACGAUCCAUAGCCGGCCUGAGAGGGUGGACGGCCACAUUGGGACUGAGACACGGCCCAGACUCCUACGGGAGGCAGCAGUGGGGAAUAUUGCACAAUGGGGGGAACCCUGAUGCAGCGACGCCGCGUGAAGGAUGAAGUAUUUCGGUAUGUAAACUUCUAUCAGCAGGGAAGAAAAUGACGGUACCUGACUAAGAAGCCCCGGCUAACUACGUGCCAGCCGCCGC
rnacentral:rRNA from 1 species